AGCGAACGCUGGCGGCAGGCCUAACACAUGCAAGUCGAACGAACCUUUCGGGGUUAGUGGCGGACGGGUGAGUAACACGUGGGAACGUGCCUUUAGGUUCGGAAUAACUCAGGGAAACUUGUGCUAAUACCGAAUGUGCCCUUCGGGGGAAAGAUUUAUCGCCUUUAGAGCGGCCCGCGUCUGAUUAGCUAGUUGGUUGAGGUAAUGGCUCACCAAGGCGACGAUCAGUAGCUGGUCUGAGAGGAUGAUCAGCCACUUUGGGACUGAGACACGGCCCAAACUCUUCCGGGAGGGGGGAGGGGGGAAUGUAGCAAAAGGGCGAAAGCCAUGACGGCCCCAGGCCGGGUAAAUGAUGAGGUUCUUGGGAUAGAAAAUUUUUUUCACCGGGGCCGAUAAUGACGGUACCGGAAAAGAAAGCCCCGGCUAACUUCGUG
rnacentral:rRNA from 1 species